rnacentral:rRNA from 1 species
AGGGUUUGAUCAUGGCUCAGAACGUACGCUGGCGGCACGCCUAACACAUGCAAGUCGAACGCAGUAGCAAUACUGAGUGGCAAACGGGUGAGUAUAAUGUGGGAAUCUGCCUUUUGGUUUGGAAUAACACGGGGAAACUUGUGCUAAUACCGAAUAAGCCUUUACAGGGAAAGUUUUAACGCCGAAAGAUGAGCCCGCACUUGAUUAGCUAGUUGGUAAGGUAAAAGCUUACCAAGGCAAUGAUCAAUAGCUGUUCUUAGAGGAAGACCAGCCACAUUGGGACUGAGACACGGCCCAGACUCCUACGGGAGGCAGCAGUGGGGAAUCUUGCACAAUGGGGGAAACCCUGAUGCAGCGAUGCCGCGUGAGUGAAGAAGGCCCUUGGGUUGUAAAACUCUUUCGUCGGGGAAGAAAAUGACUGUACCCGAAUAAGAAGGUCCGGCUAACUUCGUGCCAGCAGCCGCGGUAAUACGAAGGGACCUAGCGUAGUUCGGAAUUACUGGGCUUAAAGAGCUCGUAGGUGGUUAAAAAAGUUGAUGGUGAAAUCCCAAGGCUCAACCUUGGAACUGCCAUCAAAACUUUUUAGCUAGAGUGUGAUAGAGGUAAGUGGAAUUUCUAGUGUAGAGGUGAAAUUC